UGAUUCUAGAAGUGUAGGACUCGCAAACAAUCUGGUCGAAAUAUUGAUCCCAAUAUUUGGCUUCAUGUCACUUAUAGUGUUGAUAUACAUUAUAAUCUAUGGGAAUAAGACAUCAAGAAGACCGUACUUACUGUUGCUUUCUUUUGGUAAGCGGUUCCCUAAAGUUUCUUACAAGGAUCUAGCCCAAGCUACGACAAACUUCUCCAAGUCGAAUCUAAUGGAGUGGAAGCUAUGGUUCAGUUUACAAAGGAAAUUAAAGCCUGCCGUGCGCCCCGUGCCGUGCGCCGCGCCCCGGCCGCCGCCCCAUGGGGCACGGCGUCAGCUGCGCCCGCACCGGCGACGAGCACGACUACUUCCGCGCGGCGCAGCUCGGGGACCUCGACGCCCUCGCCGCGCUCUACGACCGCCUCUCCGCGCUCCACAUCGCCGCCGCCAAUGGGCGCAUCUAGGUCGCCCCUCUUCUCCACGCCAUGGUGAAUCGGCGCAAGCAGGUGCUGGAUCCCAUCAAACUGAUGCCUUUUUUUUGUUUGCAACUUGCGAGGAUCUCUCUGCUAGCUUUGGGAGGGGCUGCGGAGCUGGCGAGGCGAGGGGCGGCGGCGGCAGGGCAAGGGGCGGCAGCGCCGGCGGGGCGAGCGGGGGGCGAGGGAGGACGGCGGCGGGGUGAGGGGCGGCGGCGGUGGGGCGAGCGGCACCGUGUAGUUCCUGCCGUUCUUGCCGCCGCCGGCCUUGCGGCCGAACCCGACGGCGCCGUCUGCGAGGCGCUGCCGGUUGUCGGCCCAGCUCGGGUCACAGCGCCAGCAGUCGUCCACCGGAUUGCCGGUGCCGCAGUCGCCGUCAAUCAUCCGUCGGUGCUGUGACGUAUUCACGCUUAUGUAAAGAACAAGGAAGGUUAAACUCACUGACGGAGUGGAUUGACAAUGGAGAAGAGAUGGAAAGGGGAAGAAAGGAUGCAGUAAAGCAGAAGAUGAGAAAGGCCAUUCUUGUUGAUGACAAGACAAACUUGACAUGAACAGCAAUUUAGCAGUAUAGUAGUUGCUGAUCUCGAUCUAAAUAGACAAUAAUACCCUAGCCGUUGGGUAAGUGACUUUGGGUAAACCCAACUGUUGUAUGUGACAAUUGUGCUUGCGAGACUGCUUGUCCGCCUGAAGGCUGUUGCUCUUUCAGCUUGUGCUGGUCCAUUGGCUGAAGAGAUGCAGUGGCCUUCCCUGGGUACGAAAGCAGCUUCGCAAGGGGGCUGCUGAUUUUGACGGAGGAAAAAUCAACGACGUAGAGACCUGGUCACGGUGGUGGGGGAAAUAACGGACUGCCCAACACGAUGACAUGGUCUGAUUUGAAAUAGCUUUUUAGCAUUCUACUGUAACUUGAUAUAUUUGAUAUAUUUUUAGGAAGAAAUUUUUUUAGCAUA